rnacentral:rRNA from 1 species
GACGAACGCUGGCGGCGUGCUUAACACAUGCAAGUCGAACGGAAAGGCCCUGCUUUUGUGGGGUGCUCGAGUGGCGAACGGGUGAGUAACACGUGAGUAACCUGCCCUUGACUUUGGGAUAACUUCAGGAAACUGGGGCUAAUACCGGAUAGGAGCUCCUGCUGCAUGGUGGGGGUUGGAAAGUUUCGGCGGUUGGGGAUGGACUCGCGGCUUAUCAGCUUGUUGGUGGGGUAGUGGCUUACCAAGGCUUUGACGGGUAGCCGGCCUGAGAGGUUGACCGGCGACAUUGGGACUGAGAUACGGAGCAGACUCCUACGGGAGGCAGCAGUGGGGAAUAUUGCACAGUGGGCGGAAGCCUGAUGCAGCAACGCCGCGUGCGGGAUGACGGCCUUCGGGUUGUAAACCGCUUUCGCCUGUGACGAAGAGAGAGUGACGGUAAUGGGUAAAGAAGCACCGGCUAACUACGUG